GAUGAACGCUGGCGGCGUGCCUAAUACAUGCAAGUCGAGCGAACAGACGAGGAGCUUGCUCCUCUGACGUUAGCGGCGGACGGGUGAGUAACACGUGGAUAACCUACCUAUAAGACUGGGAUAACUUCGGGAAACCGGAGCUAAUACCGGAUAAUAUAUUGAACCGCAUGGUUCAAUAGUGAAAGACGGUUUUGCUGUCACUUAUAGAUGGAUCCGCGCCGCAUUAGCUAGUUGGUAAGGUAACGGCUUACCAAGGCAACGAUGCGUAGCCGACCUGAGAGGGGGAUCGGCCACACUGGAACUGAGACACGGUCCAGACUCCGACGGGAGGCAGCAGUAGGGAAUCUUCCGCAAUGGGCGAAAGCCUGACGGAGCAACGCCGCGUGAGUGAUGAAGGUCUUCGGAUCGUAAAACUCUGUUAUUAGGGAAGAACAAAUGUGUAAGUACUAUGCACGUCUUGGCGGUACCUAAUCAGAAAGCCACGGCUAACUACGUG
rnacentral:rRNA from 1 species